rnacentral:rRNA from 1 species
AAUAGAUACCCAGGUAGUCCACGCUGUAAACGUUGGACACUAGGUGUGGCGGUCUGAUCAACGACUGCCGUGCCGAAGCUAACGCAUUAAGUGUCCCGCCUGGGGAGUACGGCCGCAAGGCUAAAACUCAAAGGAAUUGACGGGUCCCCGCACAAGCGGCGGAGCAUGCGGCUUAAUUCGAUGCAACCCGAAGAACCUUACCUGGGUUUGACAUCAUGGGAAAAGCCGUGGAAACACGGUGUCCGUAAGGGCCCAUGACAGGUGGUGCAUGGCUGUCGUCAGCUCGUGUCGUGAGAUGUUGGGUUAAGUCCCGCAACGAGCGCAACCCUUGUCCUAUGUUGCCAGCGGUUCGGCCGGGAACUCAUAGGAGACUGCCGGGGAUAACUCGGAGGAAGGUGAGGACGAUGUCAAGUCAUCAUGCCCCUUAUAUCCAGGGCUGCACGCAUGCUACAAUGGUCGGUACAACGGGCAGCGAUCCUGCGAAGGUGAGCGAAUCCCACAAAGCCGGCCUCAGUUCGGAUUGG